rnacentral:tRNA from 1 species
GGGGUUGUGGCUCAGUUGUAGAGUGCUUGCCUAGCAUGCAUGAGGCACUGGGUUCGAUUCUCAGCACCA